rnacentral:tRNA from 1 species
GGCUGUGUAGCUCAGGGGUAGAGCGGGUUGGUUAGCACCAAUUGCGACAGUGGUUCAAAUCCACUCACAGCCUCCA